ensembl:lncRNA novel transcript
CUCUUCCUCUUCCUAAUUCUCCUCCUCUGCCUCCUCCUUGUCCUCUCCCUCCCCCUUGUCCUCCUCGUCUUCCUUUUCUUCCUCCUCUUCUGUCCCAGGGCUUUCAAACUCUGGCUCUCCAACGACAUGGAAGAGUUAAAAGGAGGAACGCCGGCUCAGCCAAGCCCCGGAGACUCCUACUUGAUAUGGGCAGUUUAAAGCCACUUUCCCUUUAAAUUUUUCUGUGACAACUCUUUUCAUGGAGAAUGGAAAGACUCUCGUUAAGUGUUGCCGUUCAGAAGUGUUGGUGGUCGUUGCUAACAUGAGAUCCAACAAGAAAUGGUGAAAAUGCACAAUGCCUCAGGACGCCUUGAGGAAGGAGCAGCGUGUUGCUGCUGAGGGUGAACACACGUGGUCUCUGAGGAGAGGCGACAGAUCUCCCUGGGCGUCAGUCAUCCUGGGACUGGGUGUCGUGGAAGAAGGUGACACCAGGCAGAAACCAAGAGCAGGGGAGCUGCAGGCCGGUAUCAGAGCCCGUAUCAGAGCAGAGUGGCCCCUGAGCGGGGAGGCAGCUGGAGCUCACUGUUGGAGGAGGGCCCGGCACCUGCACCUGAGGACAUGAGUCUGAGGCCUGCGGAGAAGCCAGGUGAGACACCGCUGUGCUUCUCUGGGCCACGGCCCCUCACGGCUGCAUCCAGUCACCAGAGUUCCUCUGUGCCUCACCCACCCUUGAUCAUAGAAGACAGCCUGCAUGUCCUCAGCUCUGUCCUCCAACCGGCUGCCCGGGAGGCCUCCCUGGCUGCUCCCCAAACUGCACGUGCCCUGAGUCAGCCCUGGGGCCUCAUGGACUCCCCUGUUCACGCAUCCCGGCAGCGCGCAAACCAUCCCUGUCGGCUCCCAGUGAAAUGCUACAGGAUCUCAGGGCAGCUGCACCCCGCAGGUUCAGAAGGGAUGGGAUUCUGUGUCCUUUUCCUUCUUGCUUCAGACCUUCACCUGGGGCUCUAACACCGAAAGUCUGUGCCAGACAGAGGCAUCCACAGCGACAGGAGCCUGGGCCAGGGCGGCCAUCCCUGCUGCAGAGACAAAUGUCAGUGUCCAUGGAAUCAGUUCGGUGCGGUGAGCGGCAGGUCUGAUAUGAAAGCUACUCGCACUUCCCGUCUGGGCAAGAGCAGGAACUCGGCAGGCAGAGAGCUGGUGGAGCUUUCCAUGGGAAAACCAGAACCUUCAAAGAGCCCGGCCUCCCUCUGAUCAGCCCCUUCUUUCUGAUCAGAUGCAUUAUUGACGAGGCAGCCUCCUCCACCUGCCUCUCAUCAGAGCAGCUCGUUUCCCACCGUGGUAAUUUAUACUUGUGAUUUUGGCCUUGAUCAAUAAAGGCAACGGAGAAGA